AGACCCGAAACCCGGUGAUCUAGCCAUGGGCAGGUUGAAGGUUGGGUAACACUAACUGGAGGACCGAACCGACUAAUGUUGAAAAAUUAGCGGAUGACCUGUGGCUGGGGGUGAAAGGCCAAUCAAACCGGGAGAUAGCUGGUUCUCCCCGAAAGCUAUUUAGGUAGCGCCUCGUGAAUUCAUCUCCGGGGGUAGAGCACUGUUUCGGCUAGGGGGCCAUCCCGGCUUACCAACCCGAUGCAAACUGCGAAUACCGGAGAAUGUUAUCACGGGAGACACACGGCGGGUGCUAACGUCCGUCGUGAAGAGGGAAACAACCCAGACCGCCAGCUAAGGUCCCAAAGUCAUGGUUAAGUGGGAAACGAUGUGGGAAGGCCCAGACAGCCAGGAUGUUGGCUUAGAAGCAGCCAUCAUUUAAAGAAAGCGUAAUAGCUCACUGGUCGAGUCGGCCUGCGCGGAAGAUGUAACGGGGCUAAACCAUGCACCGAAGCUGCGGCAGCGAACGUAUCACUUAAAGCGAUUCAGCGGGUUACGAUUGACGGAGCGAAGCGACGUCAAAGCGUAUACAAAGUCGAGUCGGUUUAAGGAUACGUUCGUUGGGUAGGGGAGCGUUCUGUAAGCCUGUGAAGGUGGCCUGUGAGGGUUGCUGGAGGUAUCAGAAGUGCGAAUGCUGACAUAAGUAACGAUAAAGCGGGUGAAAAGCCCGCUCGCCGGAAGACCAAGGGUUCCUGUCCAACGUUAAUCGGGGCAGGGUGAGUCGACCCCUAAGGCGAGGCCGAAAGGCGUAGUCGAUGGGAAACAGGUUAAUAUUCCUGUACUUGGUGUUACUGCGAAGGGGGGACGGAGAAGGCUAUGUUGGCCGGGCGACGGUUGUCCCGGUUUAAGCGUGUAGGCUGGUUUUCCAGGCAAAUCCGGAAAAUCAAGGCUGAGGCGUGAUGACGA
rnacentral:rRNA from 1 species